UACGUAGGGUGCAAGCGUUGUCCGGAAUUAUUGGGCGUAAAGAGCUCGUAGGUGGUUCGGUAAGUCGGAUGUGAAAUCUCCAGGCUCAACCUGGAGGGGUCAUUCGAUACUGCCGUGACUAGAGUUCGGUAGAGGAGUGUGGAAUUCCUGGUGGAGCGGUGAAAUGCGCAGAUAUCAGGAGGAACACCAAUGGCGAAGGCAGCUCGCUGGGACGUGACUGACGCUGAGACGCGAAAGCGUGGGGAGCGAACAGG
rnacentral:rRNA from 1 species